GAGGGGGGGGUCAGAGUACCUGGAGAAAACCCCACGCUGACAUGAGGAAAAUGAACCCCGGGAGAGACUUGAACCCAGGUCCCAGAAGUGUGAGGUAAUAGUGACAACCACUGCAUAAAAAAUAAGGUUUAGACAAGGAACCGCCUGCAUACUGUUUUAUAAUAGUUUGAAAAAAGCAAUUUAAAGUUAUACAUUUCGCCUGUUUUAAUGUUGUAUCGUCUAAUGAAGUAAUAGACUACUACGCCAUAGAGUAUAAAUCAUCUUAUCAUUGGAGGACUAUAUCCAACAUUCACCAUGACAUCAGGGGCUAUUUUUAAUGAUUAUUAUGAUGUUCCAUGAAAGCGAUAAUAUAGUACCUGAUUGUUUUUAGAGAGGCUCAUUUGUGCGUGGCUGUAUGUAAGGACAGGUUAUAUUUGUCAGUAGUCAUGGGAAUUAAACCUUUUUUCAUUUCAGGGACUUCCCGGUCCAGUCUGCCUUAAACCCCCCUGCCAGGACCCCUUUCACCAUUGUCUUUAAGCUGACCACACUGCAUCAUAUCCAGUCCAACAGGUCCACGGCACCCACCACCUCCUUGCGGAUGGCGUGCAGUAGGGCGUCCCCCACGUACACGUUGGUGCUGAGAAGCAGCUCGAUUAUCUCCAGGUUCUCGUUCUCGAUGGCAAUGAGCAGCGCUGUGCGGCCCAGUGAGUCCACGCAGUUGAUGUUGAUCUUGAAGUAGAUCUCUGCCUCCUGCAGAGCCUGCCGGACGCUGGCGUAGUCACCCCGCUCCACGGCCCGCAGAAUGACUGGACUCCCCAACAAUCCUGGCAGUCUGCACCCCCACUCUGGCUUGCGCGAAUCUACAGUAUUCAUCUAGCAGACUGGAUACCCCGAGUGCCCCAGAGACUGAGGGGGUUGCAAAGUCCCUGGGAGACACACUCUCUUCAGGAGGAGAAUUUCUCCUUGACCUCUCCUUGAAGCUGAGGGAGAACCCAGUGGUGUAGAGGAUAUUGUCAGUGAGUGACAGGCUUUUCAUGCUCAUCCCUGGCUUGAACCCCUAAGAGGUGGUGGAGAUCCGCCAUCUGCUAAUUGAGCUACAGGGGGUAAUUGAAUGUGAGGUGUCCAAGACUCACCCAUCUCUGGAAGUGUCUGAGGAUGCGCCUGCUGAUUUUCCGACAGCCAGUUGCUGAGGAUUCUAUUGGGGGCCUACAACCAACAGCAGCAAUUCCUGUUGUAGCUGGGUGCUGGAAGAAAAAGCAGUGGAAGCAUGCGGAUUCCCUAGUGCCCUGCCCAGGAGAUUCCUUCCAAACCCGUUCAAUCCCAACUUAGCCCCACCUGUGUUCUACAGUUCCCAGCCUGUUUCCAAAGGUGACUGAGCUCUGCCUGACUCCAAAUAUUCCUGCAAUGGUCAAUCACCUGAGGUGCACCGCCCAGCCUGGCCCGCUGUCAGUAGCAUCAGUUCCUUUAAUAAACCCCCCAUUGUCUGUCCUUAUGCCUGCCCCUGCCACUAUGGUUCUCACUGGAACAAGUUAUUUAUA